rnacentral:rRNA from 1 species
UAUGGAUGAGAAAGGUGUUCAAGUAAAAAAGGCUUUGUGGUUGUAAACAUCUAUCAGCAGGGAAGAAGGAUAAGUCAUGGUACCUGCAUAAGAAGAACGGCAUAACUAACUCCCUGCAAGCACCUUAAUUAAUAGGGAGCUAGCGAUAUCUGUAAUUAUUAGGUGUAAAUAAAUGGUUGGCAGUUUGUUUCGUAUGUCGUAUAAGUAAGCCGCUUAAUCAAGCAUGUACGGUCAGUAGGAGCAGAGUAAAGUGAAGUAGGAAAGAGUGAAAUUAAUCGUGUAGGGGUGGAAUAAGCAGAUAUCAAGAGGAACAAACAUGAGGAAGGAAGGUGUCUGUGUUGUAAGUAACGGUGAGGAGGGAAAGCAAGGGGAGGGAACAAGCUUAGAUAGCUAGCUAGUUCAUGCAGUCAAUAAUGGACAAUAGGUGUGGGGUCCAUUGCUUGGUUUCCGCGGUGCAGCUAAUACAUUAAGUACCCCUCCUCGUGAGUAGGGCGGCAACAAUAAAAAUAAAAAGAAUAGAUGGGGGGCGGCACAACAGGCGGAGCAUCAGGAUUAAUUAUUAUGAAACAAGAAGAACAUCAUCAAGACGUGACAUCUUCUUGAUACAAGUAGAGAUAUAGUUUCUCCUUUUGGGCGGCUUAACAGCAUGGUGCAUCGUGGUCGUCAUCAGGUGUCGUGAGAUGAUGGUUUAAUUACUGCAACAAGAGCAACCAUCGUUCCUAUGUAGUCAGCACGUAAUAGGUGGGGCAUUCAUGAGAGAAUGCCGGGGUAAAAUCCGAGGAAGGUGAGGAAGAAGUCAAAUUAUCAAUCCCCUUAAUUACUGGGCUUCCACCAUGGUACAAUGGCACAUAAAAAAGGUUGGGAUGACGUCAGGGGGAGGUAAUUCCCAAAAACCUGUUUCCGUUCGUAGUGGUCUAUCCAGACUGUAGCACACGCCGCCCGUAGAGUUUGAUCCUGCUCAGCACACCCGCCCGCGCCUCUCGCCCCUCCCAUUUCCCCC